AGAGUUUGAUCCUGGCUCAGAGCGAACGCUGGCGGCAGGCUUAACACAUGCAAGUCGAACGGACCCUUCGGGGUUAGUGGCGGACGGGUGAGUAACACGUGGGAACGUGCCUUUAGGUUCGGAACAACACAGGGAAACUUGUGCUAAUACCGGAUGUGCCCUUCGGGGGAAAGAUUUAUCGCCUUUAGAGCGGCCCGCGUCUGAUUAGCUAGUUGGUGAGGUAAAGGCUCACCAAGGCUACGAUCAGUAGCUGGUCUGAGAGGAUGGCCAGCCACAUUGGGACUGAGACACGGCCCAAACUCCUACGGGAGGCAGCAGUGGGGAAUCUUGCGCAAUGGGCGAAAGCCUGACGCAGCCAUGCCGCGUGGAUGAUGAAGGUCUUAGGAUUGUAAAAUCCUU
rnacentral:rRNA from 1 species